rnacentral:rRNA from 1 species
AUUGAACGCUGGCGGCAGGCCUAACACAUGCAAGUCGAACGAGUGGCGGACGGGUGAGUAAUGUCUGGGAAACUGCCUGAUGGAGGGGGAUAACUACUGGAAACGGUAGCUAAUACCGCAUACCAUCGGAUGAGCACAGAUGGGAUUAGCUAGUAGGUGGGGUAAAGGCUAACCUAGGCGACGAUCCCUAGCUGAUCUGAGAGGAUAACCAGCCACACUGGAACUGAGACACGGUCCAGACUCCUAUGGGAGGCAGCAGUGGGGAAUAUUGAACAAUGGGAGCAAGCCUGAUGCAGCCAUGCCGCGUGUAUGAAGAAGGCCUUCGGGUUGUAAAGGACUUGCAGCGGGGAGGCGUUACCCGCAGAAGAAGCACCGACGAACUCCGUGCCAGCAGCCGCGGUAAUUC